rnacentral:tRNA from 2 species
GGGCGAUUGGCUCAGUGGUAGAGCGCUUCCCUGACACGGAAGAGGUCGCUGGUUCGAACCCAGUAUCGCCCACCA